GAUCCUGGCUCAGGAUGAACGCUAGCUACAGGCUUAACACAUGCAAGUCGAGGGGCAGCAUGGUCUUAGCUUGCUAAGGCCGAUGGCGACCGGCGCACGGGUGAGUAACACGUAUCCAACCUGCCGUCUACUCUUGGACAGCCUUCUGAAAGGAAGAUUAAUACAAGAUGGCAUCAUGAGUCCGCAUGUUCACAUGAUUAAAGGUUUACCGGUGUAAGAUGGGGAUGCG
rnacentral:rRNA from 1 species